rnacentral:rRNA from 1 species
GGCCUUGACAUACUAAGAACUUUCCAGAGAUGGAUUGGUGCCUUCGGAACUUAGAUACAGGUGCUGCAUGGCUGUCGUCAGCUCGUGUCGUGAGAUGUUGGGUUAAGUCCCGCAACGAGCGCAACCCUUUUCCUUAUUUGCCAGCGGGUUAAGCCGGGAACUUUUAAGGAUACUGCCAGUGACAAACUGGAGGAAGGCGGGGACGACGUCAAGUCAUCAUGGCCCUUACGGCCAGGGCUACACACGUGCUACAAUGGUCGGUACAAAGGGUUGCUACCUCGCGAGAGGAUGCUAAUCUCAAAAAGCCGAUCGUAGUCCGGAUCGCAGUCUGCAACUCGACUGCGUGAAGUCGGAAUCGCUAGUAAUCGCGGAUCAGAAUGCCGCGGUGAAUACGUUCCCGGGCCUUGUACACACCGCCCGUCACACCAUGGGAGUUUGUUGCACCAGAAGUAGGUAGUCUAACCGCAAGGAGGACGCUUACCACGGUGUGGCCGAUGACUGGGGUGAAGUCGUAACAAGGUAAGCGUAGAUGA